UACGUAGGCAGCAAGCGUUGUUCGGAGUUACUGGGCGUAAAGGGUGCGUAGGCGGUUGUUUAAGUUUGGUGUGAAAUCUCCCGGCUCAACUGGAAGGGUGCGCCGAAUACUGAGUGACUCGAGUGCGGGAGAGGAGAGUGGAAUUCCUGGUGUAGCGGUGAAAUGCGUAGAUAUCAGGAGGAACACCGGUGGUGUAGACGGCUCUCUGGACCGUAACUGACGCUGAGACACGAAAAGCGUGGGUAGCAAACAGG
rnacentral:rRNA from 1 species